rnacentral:rRNA from 1 species
CCCUUAGAUGCUCUGGGCCGCACGCGCGCUACACUGAUGCAUUCAACGAGUGUACCUUGGCCGAGAGGCCUGGGCAAUCUUUUGAACGUGCAUCGUGAUAGGGAUAGAUUAUUGCAAUUAUUAAUCUUGAACGAGGAAUUCCUAGUAAACGCAGUUCAUCAAACUGCAUUGAUUACGUCCCUGCCCUUUGUACACACCGCCCGUCGCACCUACCGAUUGGAUGGUCCGGUGAAGCCUCGGGAUUGUGGCGGUUGCCUUUAUUGGUGGCCGCCGCGAGAACUUGUCUAAACCUUAUCAUCUAGAGGAAGGUGAAGUCGUAACA